AAACUUAUUGCCGGUCUAUCUUCCGGUCAACGGGCCGCACUUGCCGAAACACCACUCCGUAGCAUGCUUCAGAUACCUUCGCUGAAGAUGCGUACACUGUUGAUCCGGUACAUGGUUGAGAUAUUUGAUCCUAGCAAGGGCAGAUUCAUUGUACAAGACUUGGUUGGCGAAGUGUCUCUCGGUGCCGUGGAUGUUGAGUGCAUCUUGGCCUUGGAGAACCACGGACUGUCGGCAGAAGGUAUUCUCGGUGAGGAAGGUGAGGAUGUUAAAGAUCGAGUGCCGCCUCAAUUCCUGAGCAAGACCACAGGUAACAUAGUCAUCGAUGAUUUGAUUGUGGACAUCACAAAAAAUAAAUCUGCCGACGACGAUUUCCUUCGGAGAGUUGUCCUCGUGUUGCUUGGAACAGUUCUUGCUCCCAUGUCGAGCAAGACUGUACCAAAGCAAUAUUACGCAUUGGUGGACGAUGUGAAGCGUAUAUCCAAGAUUAAUUGGAAUGCAUUCACCCUCCGGGUUCUGCUGGACUGCCUUCGCAACGUGAGGAAAGGCAAACACCUCCGCCAAUGGCCGAGAGGGAACUUAGCUCUCCUGCAG
rnacentral:rRNA from 1 species